GACCUGCUACAAGUGGGAGAAGCUGCAGCAGCCUUCAAGUCAGCACCAGCGCUGCAGGAGCCCUCACCAGCAUUUCAACCAAGUUGGGGCUGGCAUACUGGUUGUCGUGGAAGGAGUAUGUUGAUCCCAGAAUCUCAAGAUACCUUGUAAUCAGAAGCCCAGUAACUACCAAGACAACUCCUUACCAUCUUCCUCAUCGUCAUCAUCAUCGUCAUCCUCAUCAUCAUCCUCAUCCUCAUCGUCCUCGUCCUCUGAGGCAGGGGCAGCAGCUGCUGCUUUCAUCGCUGCUGGUUCUAUUUCAUCUUCAUCCUCAUCCUCAUCCUCGUCAUCGUCAUCAUCCUCAUCCUCCUCACUGUCAUCCUCCUCCUCUUCAUCACUGUCUUCCUUCUUGGCAUUCUUG